UCAGUCAGCGCAGCGUAAUAAUAGAAACUAACCAGGAUUCCCUUAGUAACGGCGAGUGAACUGGGAUGCCAAUAUAUAAUAUGUACCUCGCGUGCAUAAAUUAGUCCGUCGAUACUAUCCUAGCGUAUGUCACCGGUCUUCGGGUCGGUACUCAAAUACGCGGGAAUUGUAGCAUCGUAAUAAUUAAAAAUAUACAGCACACACACACACACACACAUAUAAGAACCCACGCCAACCUGCGUACACCACUUGUAAACACACAGCGUCUCCGCGUUGGGAAGCAAGUAUAUAUCCUCUUUGGAUAUGCCAUAGAGUGUGACAGCCACGUUUCACCCAUAUGAUAGUUACGCACACACACACACAUACACCAAUGGCGCGGCGUGCGAGUGCACAACGUAUAUAUACUAUAACCUGAGUCGAGUUAUUUGGGACUAUAGCUCUAAUAGUUUGGUUGGUGGUAAUGACACAUCAAAGGCCAAAUAUUGGUUAGUCGAUGCAUAUUGCGGAGACCGAUAGCAUACAAGUACCGUAAGGGAACGAUGAAAAGCACCCUAUUGAGUUCACGGCGCAGACUCGAUACUCGUAUCUUGUCCAGCGCCCAACAACUACAGUGGGAGUGAAAGAGAGAGU
rnacentral:rRNA from 1 species